GGAUGUGAGGGAGAUCUGGCUGGGACAUCUGUCACCCCAUUGAUCGCCAGGGUUGAUUCGGCUGAUCUGGCUGGCUAGGUGGGUGUCCCCUUCCUCCCUCACCGCUCCACGUGUGUCCCUCCCGAAGCUGCGUGCUCGGUCGAAGAGGACGACCUUCCCCGAAUAGAGGAGGACCGGUCUUUGGUCAAGGGUAUACGAGUAGCUGCGCUCCCCUGCUAGAACCUCCAAACAAGCUCUCAAAGCCAGCCUGGAACUAAGAGUGAGAUCUAGGCCAGCUUGAGCUA
rnacentral:snRNA from 1 species